rnacentral:lncRNA from 1 species
UUCGGUUAGAACAGACUCAGGCCAACAAAAUGUGUACAUCCAUUUCCAAAUUUAAAAGCUUUAAGUGCUCUUAAAACUGCUGUCCCUAUUCAGACUGUAGUCCCGAUUCACCCCAGAUAACGGUAUUGCAUCUAAACGACCAUAAUGUAAAAUGAGAUUCAACGUUGUGCAUGAACCUCAUUUAAUUUAUUUUUUGUUUUUGCAAAUGACAAAUUUGAAAUUUCAAAAAGCAUGUAAAAGAUGAUUCUGUUGUAAAUAUUACCAAAUGUAAAUUUCAAAUGCUGUUUUUUUUGCGAAUGACAAAAAAGUUUCGCUGCGUGUUCGAUCAAGUAUGGUUCAGUUGGACCGAUCGCUCGUGAAUAAAAGUGUUUUAAAAUUAUUGAAUGGUAAUCCAGAUCAAAUUGAGAUAGGGCAAAGUUGGUGCAGUUGGCAUGUCCACAAAUUAGACGACUGAGGUAAUCUCAGUUCUGCUCAUUGAUGUACCUAUAAAGGUUUGUUUAUGUUUUCAAUUGUACAUUUUAGGAUCGAUUGCUUGAAAACAUUAAUCUUGACCGGAUAUAAUAAUGGCUACUUUGCAGGAGGUUUGUCGUCGGCAAUUCAAACACAACCAGCUGAGCGAGUGGCCACCAAUUAACGACGUUAGUUUGCUGCGUUUCCAAAUUUCUGAUCACAAACUGAUACUCCUCCAAAUUGACCAGCGCGCAGUAACAUUUUCGGAGGGUUUGUUCAAGAAUUGUUGGUAUGUAAACAAACCAAUGUACGGAGAAGGGGUCGAUCCUGGAUUCCUAGUCGGUGGUUUAGUGGCCACGGGCUUAAAUGUUAGCAGCAUCUUCCUUGUUGAAGGUCAGCUUCUUUGGUUGGAACAGCUGGUGGUACGUUGUGGAGGACUUCAUCCACCACGGUCAGUUCCAGAUCGAAUUCGUGAUUGCCGUUGCCGAUGAUCUUAUCCAAGGGUCAUCUGACUGGCCAGCUGGACACGCUAGAGACAGUAAACCAAUUGACCCCAGCAGACGUCUCCGGUCUAGACACAGGCCUGGUCUUCGACGUCUUCGUUUACGUCAUUUCACGAAAUUAGUCAAAUUAAAGUUGCUUUUACCACGCACUACACAGUUAGCAACCAGAUACUAAGGAAAAACGGACUUUGGGUAAAGAAAACCUUCGCCAUAUGCCUAUGCCUAUCUAUGCCUUCGCGAAUAAAACCGACUGUAAAAUUCAAAACAGAUUCCAAGUUCGAUAAAGAUAAAACUGUAGGAAUGUUUACAAAAAGUGCUUUGCUUGAACUAACAAAAUGUCAAAAUGAGACGAUGAUUUACACGCUGAUAAAAUUAUAGUGAUUGAAUAUAAGUUUAGUCAAGUGUUGUUUUAAAUAAGUGUGUUUACUUUAACGUGUAUUCUAGUACCUCUCGAAAACGCCGUACACGGAAAGCAAAUGCAUUGUUUUAGUUUUGCAUGUCGUUUCGAAUGAUUUUUUUUGUCUAAUUUUAUAAUGUUUCAGUUAGGCAAAGACCUGCUGACAACUUUAAUAAUUUUUGCUCUAAAUAAUAACAAAUCACUAGUGCAGGAAAAAGAGGCAAAAGUUUUUGCCUGGACAUGAAAAUGUGAGGAGCGUAAUUUUUUAAUCGUGUUAGAGCUUUGGUUUGAGAGCCGGUUUUAAAUUUAAGUUCGCUUUUAGGUCCUUACGUCAACCUUACGUAAAAUUUUCUAAAGUCUGUUUUUUUGCCAGCUCAAAUGAUUGUGGAUUUCGUUCAUAUUUUCUGACAUAUUUUCACGGUUGUCAAAAAUUGGACGGAAAUAGGCCGAGGGAUUUCCAAAUGAUGUGAAAAUUCAAACUUCCUCAUCAUCAGAAAUAAAUUCAGAUUUUUUUUAAAGGACCCAAGACAAUAGCUUUCUUUUGUUUCCAAGGCCAUUUAAAACAAAACUCUGGAAUUGUUUGAUGAAAAAUAAUUUUCAGUCAGAUAAAUAUUUAUUUAAAUAUAAAAAGUUUCAUUUCGAUGAUCUGACCCCACUUUCUGUCACACACUUUCAAAAAUCAUUCUCGGAAGAGUUUUCAAAAAGCCGUAAGAGCCAUCGUGACCUUCGACACUAAAAUUCGGUUUUCUCCAAGUUAUAACGAAAAUUAAUUUAGUUUGGGGCACUUGAAGGACGUGUAGAUGAACAAUCUUAAGCAUUUUUGAAAUUGGCUUUUCGUAAGUAGGUUGAAUACCGAUGCAUUAAAGGCUUUAUUUACCAUUGGCUCUUACGUCUUUUUGAAUACUAAUCCUAGCAUUCAUUAUUAUUACCCCAAAACCUGCGAAAAUUCAAAAAAGAAAUAACUGUUUAAUCGUGUACAGAUUAUCGUAGUAUCGUCGCAGCGUGUACUGUUUGUUUGUUUUGUUUUGUCCGCCUACUGCGAUCGUUGCGCGCGGUUUUGGAGGAUUGAUUUUUUUGUUUUUCGUCACGGCCUGGGUCACGGCCUGGUCCAAGAACACCGAAUCAUAAUCGGUUUUUGGUUCUACUCAGGGUUUCGAUAGCCAGGAAAAAUCAUCUAAGUGUAUUUUGCUGCAGUUCUAGUGUAAGCUGUGUGCGAUUUUCCGGUUGUUUUGUGUUUUGGCUCAACGACGAAGGCUGGGGGACGACGGCAGGUGACCAACUUUAACCAGGGCAAUGUUACAGGAAAAAUCUGGAACAGAAAAGGACGGAGGACAGCAGCAGCAAUAGUGAAAUAGCCAACCGCAACUACAGAUGCCCGUCGGAAUGUUUAGUUUUGUACGACGGCGGCAAAAGGUCGCAAAACCAUACGCCGGAGGAAUGUCGCUGGAAUUGAAAGGCCUCGAGAAUAAGUACAGCCAGAAAAUCAAGCUUAGCACACACGAACAGGACCGGCUGAUCGAUACUAAGAAGUAAACCAGGAAGGUUAUUCCAAGGUGGGAUUGUCGACGAUGAAGGCUGCAUGUACAUGUAGAUUCAACUGCAGCAGCAGAAAGCCGAAAGUUACGAACAGCAUUGUAGGGAAUGAGUGCGGGUUCAGUUAAAUUAAAUUGUUUGUUUGUGUUAGUAGGCAUGCAAAAGACAGUAGAAAUUGAGAGGAGCAAAAAAAUUGGUAGCAAAUUACAGUAGAGCCCAUGUUUCCGAUGGUGUUGGCAAGCGAGAGCGUUUUGAGAGAGGCAAAAAGAGAGAAUGAGAGAGAUGCGAAAAUAAGAGCGUGAGAAUCGAGGUUGGAAAAUAAAGCAGUCUUGUUGUACGUUUUGGCACGGAAACAUGUGUUUUUAUAUCGGUCUGAAAACUAGUCGAAAAUAUUGGUCCGAAAUUCUGUGUCGCGAGCCCGGAUCACGACAAUGGCGCGGAUCGGUUUCCCGAGCCUACGCGAUGUCAUUUCGAGGUGUUUUGUUUGCGGCGCGAUCAAAAGGGGAAUUAAAUGUUUGUGUUGACUGCGUUUUAUUUUCGUUUUCGCGAGUGUUAAAAAAAGUGUGAUGGGAAGUAAAAGAAGACCCUUGAGAAGACCUUAAAUUUCACGAGUGAGGGUUUAGUGCGGUGUUGCGGCAAAGCGGCGGUGUUUGGUAAAGGUGUUGGUGUUGGUGUUGUGGCGUUUCGAACGAGCCCUGCGGCACAACAGCGGUAUUUUUUUACAAGGCUGCACACCAACACAAACGCAUUCGUUUCCGUUCGGUGUGUCACCGGAGAUUACACGAGUUUGUUUCAAGGUGAAUCCAGGAUGGAACUAAGGUGGACUUGGAAAUCUUUGACAAAAUUUAACUGGAGGCAACAAAUUUGAGUAUCGAAUUGAUUAGUGAAUCCAAAAUAUUCUACAGACUUUUUUUUAUCGUUUCAGGUAACACCAUGAGAAAAAGGUUGACGGAUGGUGCACUGGAAUCUACCAUCGACAGGACAAUUUUGUACAAGCGAAUCAUGGGGAAGAAUGAAUUGUAAAUAUUAUAACGUUUUUGAAAAGAUGUAGGUUUUUAUGCGGACGGGCUUUUCCUACCAACAAAAAAAAAAUGAAUCUAUUUAGUUUUUUUUUCCAUGCCACAUAGAAUAGAUGUAUUAGUUGAAAUUAUUCACAUAGAGUAGAGGAGAGGGAGAAUGUAGGGAAUGAGUGCGGGUUCAGUUAAAUUAAAUUGUUUGUUUGUGUUAGUAGGCAUGCAAAAGACAGUAGAAAUUGAGAGGAGCAAAAAAAUUGGUAGCAAAUUACAGUAGAGCCCAUGUUUCCGAUGGUGUUGGCAAGCGAGAGCGUUUUGAGAGAGGCAAAAAGAGAGAAUGAGAGAGAUGCGAAAAUAAGAGCGUGAGAAUCGAGGUUGGAAAAUAAAGCAGUCUUGUUGUACGUUUUGGCACGGAAA